GUGCUCGCUUUGGCUGCACAUGUAGUACUAAAACUGGAAUGCUAGCAAGAAGAUUAGUACGGCCUUGCACAAGGAUGACAUGAAAAUUCAUGAAGCGUUCCACGUUUUU